AAUAAGCUGGCAGAAAAGAAUGCGCUUGAUUUAGGUUCAAGUAAUGAGUUUAUUACUCGCUUGUUU
rnacentral:tRNA from 1 species